rnacentral:rRNA from 1 species
GUCCACGCCCUAAACGAUGUCAACUGGUUGUUGGGUCUUCACUGACUCAGUAACGAAGCUAACGCGUGAAGUUGACCGCCUGGGGAGUACGGCCGCAUGGUUGAAACUCAAAGGAAUUGACGGGGACCCCGCACAAGCGGUGGAUGAUGUGGUUUAAUUCGAUGCAACGCGAAAAACCUUACCCACCUUUGACAUGUACGGAAGUCGCUAGAGAUAGCUUCGUGCUCGAAAGAGAACCGUAACACAGGUGCUGCAUGGCUGUCGU